rnacentral:rRNA from 1 species
UGGUGGCGAUAGCGAAGAGGUCACACCCGUUCCCAUACGAACUCAGUAGUGAAACGAUGCAUCGCCGAUGGUAGUGUGGGGUUUCCCCAUGUGAGAGUAGGUCAUCGUCAAGCA